rnacentral:pre_miRNA from 13 species
UGAGGCUCAAUGGAGCUCUCCCCACUCCAUGCCUGAAAGGAGUUCGAUGGUAGACCAUGGCUGCUAGUUCAUGAAUACCCUUGGGUGCGCAGAAUUAGCAACGGUGCAGGCGAAGUUGCGCAGGCUAAGGGUCUGCAUGACCUAGGAGACGUGGUUACCCUGACCCUUUUUGUAUUGGAGUGAAGGGAGCUCGAUGGUCUUUCACC